UUAUAUUCGGUGCUUAAGCUGCGUUGUACUGUACAACGCAGUAUGGAACAUCCCGUGUAUUAUUGCAGUGUGGUGGUACGGUACGUACGACGAUCUUGGGGAAUGAAAUCACAAGUGUCACAUGCAUUUGCCGUACUAUGGAGUGGCUAAUGAUGGGCCAAGGACAGCUCCAUUUUCAUUGCGGAUUUUCCACCGGAGAAGAUACUCGAUCCUGUCUAACUAACUUUUAUUUUUUGUGAUAUCUUUGAACAGUCCUAGGAUAUAUGUGUAAUGAGCUGUGAUGCUACCUAAUCCUGGCCAUCUGAUUCUUGGGACAAGGAAUCAUAUCUAGGAGACAUUAAGUUUUCGCAACACAAAACCACUAAUCGCUCAGUUAGCUCGUUUUGACACUGCUUCAGACAGGUGGGCCUGCCUGCUAUAAGCCGGUUCGUCAUGUAUUCUCCACCCUCUGAUUUUCGCGGUGUGGGGCCUGAGCUGUUUUUUCUUCUAAUUUAAUCACGACAAAUCGGCUAUCACGUAACUUUACCUAAAAUCUGUAUGUACGUGAAACAACAGGCUGUAGAUUGUGAAAUUAGCUGCUCCUCGUUUAACUCUGCAAAAGAAGAUGGAGGAAGAAAGUACAAGUGGUUGCAGGAUAGGCAUUUCUAAUACGGCCUACAAUCUCGGGUUAAACACGAGGUGCACCGACCUCCGGACCAAACAAACUAUUGGACAGCGUGCUUCUCCAACAUGACCCAGCCAAUUUGUACUUGAAUAGUACGACCCCUAGAGUUAAAGCAAAGCAUCUUGUGGAAGGUGGAUUUGUGUGAACUACGGUUACGACGUAUAAUUGUCUUGCCAGGGAAAAUCCAUCAAAGAUCAUUGCAUGGAUGGCAUGUAUCCCUUCUCAGGAGCAACAUUAAUUGAAUAUUUUCUUACAAGAUAUUAGCACGUGAUAUCAUUUUGUUAAGUUUUUUCUGUUGACAAAAAUAUCAUUUUGUUAAGUUAUCUUUCAUGGUUGGGCUGGACUAUAAAAGUGUUAUUUUGACACAUUUUAUAUACGAUUUCAUUUCUAUGUCACCACAAUUUUACACGUUUUCAUUAUUCUUUUCAUACAUUUUCUUUCGCAUGUGUUCAUUAUUGUUUUAUUCCAUAAUUUAUUCAUGUUUCAUCUCAGAUUUGAUAUAAGUUUCAUUAUGGUUUAUUACACCUAUUGCAUGUUUUCAUUAUUUGUUCAUUCCGAUUUCAUUAAUGUAUAGUUAAACUUGGUGCAAAACAUGUCAAAGAUUGAUGUUGUUUUAAAGAUUGAAAUAUCACGAACACAAAUCUGCAAACGUAUCGUAAAUCAGAUCAUUGGUUUAAAAGUUAAAAUUGUUACAAAGUUUAGGAUCAAACUAAAAGUAUGGG
rnacentral:lncRNA from 1 species